rnacentral:rRNA from 1 species
GACGAACGCUGGCGGCGUGCCUAAUACAUGCAAGUCGAACGAAGCUGUUUUAACUGGUGCUUGCACCGACUUAAACAACUGAGUGGCGAACGGGUGAGUAACACGUGGGUAACCUGCCCCAAAGCGGGGGAUAACAUUUGGAAACAGAUGCUAAUACCGCAUAACCACAGAAACCACAUGGUUUCUGUGUCAAAGAUGGUUUCGGCUAUCACUUUGGGAUGGACCCGCGGCGUAUUAGCUAGUUGGUAAGGUAAUGGCUUACCAAGGCAAUGAUACGUAGCCGAACUGAGAGGUUGAUCGGCCACAUUGGGACUGAGACACGGCCCAAACUCCUACGGGAGGCAGCAGUAGGGAAUCUUCCACAAUGGACGAAAGUCUGAUGGAGCAACGCCGCGUGAGUGAGGAAGGUUUUCGGAUCGUAAAACUCUGUUGUCUGAGAAGAACGUGUGCGAGAGUAACUGCUCGUGCAGUGACGGUAUCUGGCCAGAAAGCCACGGCUAACUACGUGCCAGCAGCCGCCGUAA